GUCUUCGUGGCGCAACUGGUUAGCGCGUCUGACUGUUAGGAGAGAUCCUUGAUUAUCAGGAGGUUGACAGUUCGAGCCUGUCCGAGGACG
rfam:TPA: Aspergillus nidulans FGSC A4 chromosome I